UACGUAGGGUGCAAGCGUUAAUCGGAAUUACUGGGCGCAAAGCGUGCGCAGGCGGUGAUGUAAGACAGAUGUGAAAAUCCCCGGGGCUCAACCUGGGAACUGUGUUUGUGACUGCAUCACUCGAGUACGGCAGAGGGAGGUGGAAUUCCGCGUGUAGCAGUGAAAAUGCGUAGAUAUGCGGAGGAACACCGAUGGCGAAGGCAGCCUCCUGGGCCAGUACUGACGCUCAUGCACG
rnacentral:rRNA from 1 species